ensembl:antisense Gm16140 predicted gene 16140
GGACAAUAGAAAGAACAUACAUCCAUCGCUGUCCUCAAUCCAACCGAUCUGGGUGCACUGGCAAGCUCACCAGCCACGAGCCAACAGCUCCAUAAACCCAGACAAACAUACGAAGCCCACAUCCUAAUGGCGUGGACCGCCUGCACCAUUCUCUUUUGGAAGGUAGGAAUGGAGAAUAAAAGGCACAUGUUUACCCAACACAUGACUAAUGAAACUAAGUAAGAGACACAGCAACAGGAAAAAGAAACAGAGAGCAACAGUGGGCCCAGUGACAGAAUCAUCACCACCCCUAACUCCAAAUAAAAGUCGUCCCCACUUAGCAACGCAGCGCAGCAGAAUAAGGACCCGGAGAGAGGACCGAAGGAGGGGGCACAGCAGAGAGCCUCAGUGGAGAGCAACCGCGUGGCCCCCUGCCCUCCACACCCAGGGAGUCGCCAGGGCGUCCUUGACAGUCACCCUGCCAAAACCUGCCAAAGCAGAAGGCCCAGAGCACAUACCAGCUGGAGGACGAGAGGGAAGGAGGAGGAGAAAAGUCCAUAUUUAUCUGUUUUUCUAACCUCGGCCUGCUUUUAUUUUUUUUCUAUUAAGUACAAUAAAAUGGGAGAGCUUGAAGGGAGUACCACACAAAGCAAUGUUCAGUGAGGUCUAGAAGCGUUCGGCCGGGGAAAACUGACAAGACAGGCUAAUGAACCGUGUAGACAGCGAGAAAAUAGCCAGCGUUUGCUAGA